UACGUAGGCAGCAAGCGUUGUUCGGAAUUACUGGGCGUAAAGGGCUCGUAGGCGGUUUGUCGCGUCGGGAGUGAAAUCCACUGGCUUAACUGGUGGCUUGCUUUCGAUACGGGCAGACUGGAGGUAUGCAGGGGAGAACGGAAUUCCUGGUGUAGCGGUGAAAUGCGCAGAUAUCAGGAGGAACACCGGUGGCGAAGGCGGUUCUCUGGGCAUGUCCUGACGCUGAGGCACGAAAGCGUGGGGAGCAAACAGG
rnacentral:rRNA from 1 species